GACGAACGCUGGCGGCGUGCUUAACACAUGCAAGUCGAGCGAGGCCCCUCCUUCGGGAGGGUGUCCUAGCGGCGAACGGGUGAGUAACACGUGGGCAACCUGCCCUCAGCUCUGGGAUAACUCCGGGAAACCGGGGCUAAUACCGGAUACGACCUCCACGGGCAUCUGCGGAGGUGGAAAGUUUUUCGGCUGAGGAUGGGCCCGCGGCCUAUCAGCUAGUUGGUGGGGUAGUGGCCCACCAAGGCGACGACGGGUAGUCGGCCUGAGAGGGCGACCGGCCACACUGGGACUGAGACACGGCCCAGACUCCUACGGGAGGCAGCAGUGGGGAAUAUUGCGCAAUGGGCGAAAGCCUGACGCAGCGACGCCGCGUGAGGGACGAAGGCCUUCGGGUUGUAAACCUCUUUCAGCAGGGACGAAGCGAAAGUGACGGUACCUGCAGAAGAAGCACCGGCCAACUACGUG
rnacentral:rRNA from 1 species